rnacentral:rRNA from 1 species
UGGGGAAUAUUGCGCAAUGGGGGGAACCCUGACGCAGCCAUGCGCGUGAAUGAAGAAGGCCUUCGGGUUGUAAAGUUCUUUCGGUAUUGAGGAAGGUUGAUGUGUUAAUAGCACAUCAAAUUGACGUUAAAUACAGAAGAAGCACCGGCUAACUCCGUGCCAGCAGCCGCGGUAAUACGGAGGGUGCGAGCGUUAAUCGGAAUAACUGGGCGUAAAGGGCAAGCAGGCGGUUAUUUAAGUGAGGUGUGAAAGCCCCGGGCUUAACCUGGGAAUUGCAUUUCAGACUGGGUAACUAGAGUACUUUAGGGAGGGGUAGAAUUCCACGUGUAGCGGUGAAAUGCGUAGAGAUGUGGAGGAAUACCGAAGGCGAAGGCAGCCCCUUGGGAAUGUACUGACGCUCAUGUGCGAAAGCGUGGGGAGCAAACAGGAUUAGAUGCCCUGGUAGUCCACGCUGUAAACGCUGUCGAUUUGGGGGUUGGGGUUUAACUCUGGCGCCCGUAGCUAACGUGAUAAAUCGACCGCCUGGGGAGUACGGCCGCAAGUNA